AGCAAGAUGUUCCUUUGGUGGAGAAGAAGAAAAGCGAAGAAAAAGUGGUCCAACCUUAGGAAGAGAUAAUGGUUAUUGAAGCCGAUGCUAUCGAGGAGGCUGUAAUGGAUCAGGAGGCGUUGAAAUCCGACGAUGAAUCUCGUGGUCAACCCAUUGCGGUGAAAAUUGGUCGUGGUGGCGGCCAGAAGCGCGCACAUGAAGAACGGGAAAGGGACAUCCGCAGUGUCACGGCUCCCGUGCCGGCCCCCGUGGCUCCGACGCGGGCGGAUUCUCCGCUGAUUGUCCCGGACUACCGACACCAGGAGGAAACGGAGAAGGUCCUGGAUCAGGAUUCCGAAGAAAUUCCAGGGUUGCUGGUGGCUGUGCCGUCCCAUUCGUUCAGCGGUGUUAUCAUGGGUCAGCAAGGCUUCGGACGCAAUUGAUGGGGCACGUUCGCCCUGCCGGAGUUCACGUGUCCGGCAUCGGCCGAAUAACAUUCCAAUCUCCUUCUCAACACGCAAUGGGCGGGGAUGAAAUGGAUGUCGAUGGACCGCCACCUGCUAAACGGAUACGUCCGGGAGUCAUACCGGCAACGAUUUACCUUACUGGUUUAAUUUCACAAAUGCCUUUUUAACAGCUUUGACCUUUUUAUUUUUAAGUCAUGAAAUGUAUUGUGUGAAGUAUUCUUCUUUUGAGCAAAGGGCAGGGCACACUACAUCGAAGUUAAAAUAAUGUUGAUCACGUAAUUAGAGACUAAUAAGAAGAUUUUCAAUCAUGAUUCGAUUACAGUUCGUUUAAAUUUGUGCGACAUUUUUCACCACAUGAUUAUCUGUUUGUGGAUUUUUGCCACACUGUGCUAAAAAAGCAAAAAUCUGUCCGUAUUUCCAUCCCGUCUGCCGGAACGGAAAACAUUGUCGCUUUGGGGCGACGUGUGUGUUCGAUCAUUCAGGAGCAUCACCGGCGGAAGGACCGAAUAAACAAGCUCCUCCCGUGCCGACCAAAAUCCCGUUCUGUAUCUACGCACCGUUUUGCACGCAGCCGCGCUGCAAGCUCCUGCACAAGCAGCCAGUGGUAUGCACGUUUGGCGCGCAGUGUCGCAUGGGAGCCGCACGCUGCGCCUUCCUGCAUCCGGAAGAUCUGGCCGACGGGGGAUCGACGGUCGGGGACCGGAGUGAUCUGCAGAUAACCGAUCUGGAGGAGGACAGUGAGUUUGAGGCGGACGUGACGGGGGGCGAUGCGGAGAGCGUGGAGGGUGGACAGUUCACGGUGUCGGCGCCGCAUCCCGAGAUGGACCAACCGGAACCCAUGCCCAUUUAAGAGCGCUGCGGAGGAUGCUGGUGCAUGGAUUAUAGUUGUUACUUGUUACUAAUAGUGUAUUAUUGCAUGCGUUUUGAGAUGGUUUCUAAAAGAGCAUAGUUUCCUGCUGUAUUUUGAGCGCUGAUAUGUGCGAUCGAGCGGUUACGUUAUCAUCAGUUUUUGUUUGAUGGCCGCCAGUCAUGAGGUACACAGUACAACCUUCACUGACGGCUAAACCAGUAUUGCAGAAGUCCGAUAAAAGAAU